AAAGUCGUAACAAGGUUUCCGUAGGUGAACCUGCGGAAGGAUCAUUAUAGUAAGGGCCUUUUGGCCCAUUACGAGAUGCAACCCUUGUCUUUUUGUGCACCUUUGUUUCCUCGGCAGCCUAGCCUGCCAAUGAGGACCCCAAAAAACCUUUUGCAAUCUUAGUAUAACAUUCUGAAAAUAAACAAUAUUAAAACUUUCAACAAUGGAUCUCUUGGUUCUG
rnacentral:misc_RNA from 1 species